GGGGAUUUAGCUCAGCGGCAUAAGUGCCUGCCUUGCAAGCAGGCAGUUAAUCCCUG
rnacentral:tRNA from 1 species